UAUCGUGAUGGGCGGGGUCUCCGCGGGGCGGGGCUAGAGGGCGGGGCCUGCGCGGCCAGGUAUUGAGUUACCUGAGGCGCAGGGGCGCGGAAACUCUCUGGCAGGACACCCAAGCAGCCUGUGGAGGAGCCCGCUCUGUGGAGGCCCCCCGUGUGGAGGAAUUUCGGUCCCUGGCCACCAUCAGCACCCAGUUGCCAGACCCCUGAGAUGGAACCGGCCCUCCGUCCCCAGUCCAGCCUCGCUGGCUGCAGCCCCAGACCAGUUCUUGAGAGAGGGCUCAGGAGAUUCCAGACCUGCCAGCACCUUGAUCUUGGACGUCCAGCCUCUGGAACGACCUUUUGAAAACUUGUUGAGAUCUAUGGCCAAGAUUGUGGACUCCCUUGGUGCGUGUUCCUUGAACUGCUGCUGUGGGUGAGCGGAGGCUAGUUGUCAAGACGUCUUGGGGUUGAGAAAACGGAAAAUACGAGACAGUUGCACAUCAGAUUCGCUCUCUCACUGUGUAAUGUACUGUGUGCAGCACACGGUAAGUGCCUGGGAAGCGAUGGUGGUGAUUAGCUCUGAUGGCCUGACUUCGCACACACUUGUCCAACCAGCCUGCUCUCACAUGACCAGGGGGCCCAGGUGAGAGGCACCCCUGCUCCCGGCCGCGGAAAGCUGACCUGAGGAAACCAGACGCACUCAGACGACGAGGCCUUAGGGAACACGAGGGAUGGCACCCGUCGUGGUUAUUCCUGUCAGUGGUCCACGUGGGGAAUGAUUGAUGCCUUGUUCCUCUGACACGAGGUGGAAGGGAGACAAAUAAAAAAGGGAAAUGAAAGGACUUCCCUGGUGGUCCAGUAGUUAAGACUCUGUGCUCCCAACGCAGGGGGCCUGGGUACAAUCCCUGGUCAGGGAACUAAGAUCCUGCAUGCCACGUGGGUGUGGCUAGAAUAAAAAUAAAUACUCUAUAAAAUAAAUUUUUUUAGAAAAAGGGGAGGCGAGGCAAGGAGGGGUCUGCUCAUUGGUCUCGUGUGGACGGCAGCCCCACUGCUGUGUUUGAAGUGCUUCAAGGCAGGGAGCCCCGAUGACGAGGACGUGCUGUGUGCUGGCCGAACCCUGAAUGUGCACACUGCUUCAGGUGCAUGGUUGGAGGCGCUUCGUAUCCAGGAAACCGUGACCCGGUCAGGACACAGAGCUUUUCAUCCUCCAAAGUUUCCUCUCGCCCCUCUGCAGGUCAGCCCCCCUCCGCCCCCAACCCAGGCACCACUGAUUUGGGGGAGAAGGAAUCUAAGUGCUGGGAAAAGCAAAUAAAAACAAAGCUAGUGACUGAGGAGGGGAAAUUGAGAAACAGCAGGAUGCCAUCCAAGUUUCUAUUUGCAAAAUUGCUCUUUGUGUAUAUAUACAUUUGGGAGAGAAGCUAGGCUUUGAGAACAGAUUUGCAUUUUCUUUGUGAUUUUUCUAUUGAGUUAGAAGGAACAGAACCUCAGUGGGCAGAAUCUCAGAUGGCUGCCACCCCUGUGGUUCUCAAAUUGUGGUUCUCAGGGUGCUGUACUAAGGUAAUGUAAGAGAACAGCCUUGUUCCCGGGAAAUACUCCCAGAAGUAUUUCAAGGUAAAAGGCUGUGAUGCGUGCAACUUACUCUCAAACAUAUAAAGGAUUGCAAGUUAUGGAGCAUGUCAGUAAGAUGUGAACAGCAGUGAACAAGAGGUGGGAAACCUCCUAAACUUGGGGAAGAUUGGGAACAGGCAUAGCGAGUUUUUUCUAGGCGCUCUAGGGCUUGACACAGCAUUUGCAAAUGUCUGUUGAGUGAAUGAAUGAUUGAAUAAAUGAAGGAAUGAAUGAGAUAAUAAAUAAUGUGAUAAUAUUGGCUGAAAUUGAAAGAUGUUUGCUCCUUGGAAGAAAAGCCAUGACCAACCUAGACAGCAUAUUUAAAAGCAGAGAUGUUACUUUACCAACAAAGGUCCGUCUAGUCA